ACAGCUACCUGAAAAGAAGCUGUGGGGAGCUGGGGGUCGGCCUCUUCUCACAGUCCUGGAAAAGGCAGCAGCCUGUGAGCUCCAGCCUGCUGGAUGCAUCCAGAAGCAACCUGAAGGAUCCCGGGGGGCUGAAGCCACCUGAAUGAUCCCCCUGCUGCUGGCUAGAGCAGAUAGAAAGUAGCUGCAAAGAGGCAGGCCUACUUCCACCCGAUUUAUUAUUCAAGUGUAAAAGUUUAAUGCACCUAUUUGAACAAUUAGAGUAUGCUCUCGAGCGUAGUUGUCUUUUUGCUUCUGGAGAGACAAUGGUUCAUGAAUCAGUCAGUGCUAUGGCCGGCACCCCAGCACGGAUUGUUCAUGAGUUGCUUGUUUCUUUGUACACACCCAGGAGGAAGAAAGACUUUUAAUAAUAGGCAUCAUUAAAGAAGAUUUUAAGAAAAUUAGGAACCUCAUACAAAAGUCAUUGGGCUUCUGGGACAGAUUGCUCACAGCUGGAAGCCCAAUAUGU